GACGAACGCUGGCGGCGUGCUUAACACAUGCAAGUCGAACGGAAAGGCCCUGCUUUUGUGGGGUGCUCGAGUGGCGAACGGGUGAGUAACACGUGAGUAACCUGCCCUUGACUUUGGGAUAACUUCAGGAAACUGGGGCUAAUACCGGAUAGGAGCUCCUGCUGCAUGGUGGGGGUUGGAAAGUUUCGGCGGUUGGGGAUGGACGCGCGGCUUAUCAGCUUGUUGGUGGGGUAGUGGCUUACCAAGGCUUUGACGGGUAGCCGGCCUGGGAGGGUGACCGGGCACAAUGGGACUGAGGUACGGCCCAGAGUCCUACAGGGGGCAACAGUGGGGAAUAUUGGACAAUGGGCGGAAGCCUGAUGCAGCAACGCCGCGUGCGGGAUGACGGCCUUCGGGUUGUAAACCGCUUUCGCCUGUGACGAAGCGUGAGUGACGGUAAUGGGUAAAGAAGCACCGGCUAACUACGUG
rnacentral:rRNA from 1 species